rnacentral:lncRNA from 1 species
UGUACUGAACCAGAAAAUCCUAGUUCCCCCAUUGCAAAUGAACCAGACAUGACAGGAAACCCAACCUGAGCCUUACUGAAAGAACCUGCAAUAGCAAGAACAUGAAGAUGCUUAAAUCCCUGGCACAGCAUAAAAACCAGUCAUGCAUGCAUAGUUGUCUCAAAGAGGACUUACAGCAAUAGUGUUCUAAUUAAGAAAUGAUUAGGAGUUCAAGGUACCAUAAGAAAAAUUCACAUUAUCUAACCCUCAAACAUACUUCAUUGAAUUUGAAGUGAAAAAAACCAGUCAUAAUAGACCACUCUGUAUCACUGUUCAAUACAGAGUGAUUAGGGGGCCGUCUAGGCAUAUGAUUAAUCGCUAGGCAGACAAAAAAUGCUUAGUAGGCCCUAGGCGGCACAGAAUGCGGGGGUGUCAUUAAUGAUCGCCUAGGCGGCAAUUAGGCGUGAUUAAUCAGUGCCUAGGCAGCUAUUAGGCUUGAUUAAUCGGCAUUGGGCAAAAUUAGACUUGAUUAGUUGCCGAGCAGAAUUUAAUCUGUAAACUUGUGAACACUUUUGUUUGCUGUUAAGUGUUAAGUGAUAAAUCAUUUGAACUUAAGAGU